GCACCACCGGGGCCACCGUGAUAAUGUCGCAGUAGUGUGGAAAUUUUCGCUGUUUAAUGCUCGAUACCGUCACAAUCGACGAAUAUCCAUGUAGUUCCGAGUGCAGUUCUUGAUGUGAGCUUUUCUUAACCAGUUCCGAUCAUUUUGAGCUGCUGUCGGAUGUCAACCUCGCAAAAGGUGAUCGUCGUUAUAUUAUGAGAAAGAGGACUACCUCCUGAACCAUCGGUGGAGAACGACUCACAGCUGCGAGUCUCUGAUUCCGGUUUAGUACUCGAUCUUUUGCUAAAAGUUCAAUUCGCAUGCUGCCUCGUCUUUUCGCUCCCGAAAGUGGCCGACAAGAAGAACAGGUCGGAAAAAGGGGAAGGAGAAAAAUUCAGUCGGACCGGCCAACCGAUCGACGGGGGCAUCGCCAGAGGGAACGUAAGCCAAGGAGGAGUUAUUCUUUUUGUGUACCAAGAGCUGCUGUUUUAUGCUGCUGCUCCAACAUCCGGAUCGCAGAUUUUUUAUUAGAUUGAUCUCAGUACGGUUAGUCGCGACGUUUCAUCAAUGUAUCCAAGAGCAUUAUCUUCAGAUACCAUCACCAGUUCAGGAAUUGUAUUGCGUCAAAUUCCGCACAGCUAACUUGUGAUCCGGUGCUUGCUGCGAUUGAUGUUUCCUCCACCGCAGUGAUGAGAAGCUGAGGGAUGUUCCGGUUCGGCUGGAAUUGCUACAAUCAGAUGCCAUAAAUGAUUUCUCCCGCAGCUGCUUGUAUUGAAGCAAUAUUCAGGCUUCCGGCAAAUUUAUUACAUGAAAGAUGUAUUUAUUUAUUCCAAUAAAAUAAUUGGCCUAAUAUUACUUAUUAC